rnacentral:lncRNA from 1 species
AUUUGCUUUGGUGUUUGCUUUGAAGGCAUGAAUUUUGAAGCAUCUGGCUGGGUCUUUUUUAAGGACAAUGUUGGCGACAGCUCCAAUUUUAUACAGAAAGGUCUAUCCAAGUUAUUAAGGUUCAAACGCUGAUCGUAUCGACUAAUUUUGUGGCUUCCAUGCUAUACAGACUUGUUCAGUUGUUAGAGAAUCCAGUUUAGAGCGAUCCCACUAAGGACCGUGUGAGGAUGCAAAUUGAACGAAACUGUUAGAGAAUCCUAGUUCUUUAGUUGGGGAAGGCAGGAGGUUAUUAAUUAAUGCAAUUACGUUUAGUUGAGAAACUGAAUUUUGUUUUUUUGUUUUUUUUUUCCUGUGGAUUGGAGCGAUGAGCGAUGUCUGGAUCUUUCCAUAGGGAUAGUCUGUUUUUAUUUUUAUCUUUAUUUUUAUUUUUGGGGAGAUGCAAUGAACGUCUAGUUCUCUUCCUGUUGUAAAUUAUUUCUUUCUACUUUGAAUUGGUUUGGUGCAGUCCAUAGAAGCAUUCUUG